rnacentral:tRNA from 3 species
AAGGCUUUAAGUUAAAUAAACUCAUAGCCUUCAAAGUUAUAAAUAAAGAAAUUUCUUUAAGCCUUA